rnacentral:rRNA from 1 species
UACGGGGGGGGCAAGCGUUGUUCGGAAUUACUGGGCGUAAAGCGUGCGUAGACGGUUAUGUAAGUCAGGUGUGAAAGCCCCGGGCUCAACCUGGGAAUUGCAUUUGAGACUGCAUAGCUAGGGUGCGGAAGAGGGAAGCGGAAUUUCCGGUGUAGCGGUGAAAUGCGUAGAUAUCGGAAGGAACACCAGUGGCGAAAGCGGCUUCCUGGUCCAGCACCGACGUUCAGGCACGAAAGCGUGGGGAGCAAACAGG